CCCAUUUUGCCAUCAGCGCCAGGAAGCACUGCCUUACAUUUCUGCAUGCAGCUCAAACUCAGAAGCCCCCAAGCAAGCCGGGAUAUAGCCUCUUCAUUGGCUGCAGCUCCUCCGAGCAGGAUUUGCUGAGAAGAAAAUGAUCAAGAGGUUAGCAAGAUGGGAAGCAACCAGCACGUUUGCAAAUAGGGAAAUCAAACAAUGUCACAUCAAAAUAAGAAGGAAGGAAAUCCAGCCAGCUAAGCAGGUCACACAAUUCUCCCACACGGGAAGACCUCUUUGGCUGGAGCCCAAGAUGUUGGACUGAGUUUCUCCUGAAACAAUCAGGUGCGGGGGGAGCCCCCACAAUGACUAGACACGUGUGGCUCACCUGCUGAACUAACCCCAUUGAACUAGACUCUGGACCAUCAUCAUCAGGGAGAGGAGUUGCCGAGGGAACUGCAGCUCUGUGGGGCAUAAGCUACUCAGCCUCUUGUAGUUGUGUGCAAAAAAAGAUGUGUGAUUAAUAAGCAAUAGGAAGGACAAUUACAAUGGCGGGAGAGAUGAAGUGAGCUGAAUGUCAUUGGAAUUGGGCCACUUCCCCAAGCUUUAGGGCUGGUGGGAUGCUGUUUCUUGUUACAGCUAAUAAAUUGCUCAACAAAUAUUUAUUGAAGGCCAACUA